rnacentral:rRNA from 1 species
UUGCACGCUGGCGGCAGGCCUAACACAUGCAAGUCGAGCGGAUGAAGGGAGCUUGCUCCUGGAUUCAGCGGCGGACGGGUGAGUAAUGCCUAGGAAUCUGCCUGGUAGUGGGGGAUAACGUCCGGAAACGGGCGCUAAUACCGCAUACGUCCUGAGGGAGAAAGUGGGGGAUCUUCGGACCUCACGCUAUCAGAUGAGCCUAGGUCGGAUUAGCUAGUUGGUGGGGUAAAGGCCUACCAAGGCGACGAUCCGUAACUGGUCUGAGGGGAUGAUCAGUCACACUGGAACUGAGACACGGUCCAGACUCCUACGGGAGGCAGCAGUGGGGAAUAUUGGACAAUGGGCGAAAGCCUGAUCCAGCCAUGCCGCGUGUGUGAAGAAGGUCUUCGGAUUGUAAAGCACUUUAAGUUGGGAGGAAGGGCAGUAAGUUAAUACCUUGCUGUUUUGACGUUACCAACAGAAUAAGCACCGGCUAACUUCGUG